rnacentral:rRNA from 1 species
UACGUAGGGUGCAAGCGUUAAUCGGAAUUACUGGGCGUAAAGCGUGCGCAGGCGGUUCGCUAAGACAGAUGUGAAAUCCCCGGGCUUAACCUGGGAACUGCAUUUGUGACUGGCGGGCUAGAGGAUGGCAGAGGGGGGUAGAAUUCCACGUGUAGCAGUGAAAUGCGUAGAGAUGUGGAGGAAUACCGAUGGCGAAGGCAGCCCCCUGGGCCAAUACUGACGCUCAUGCACGAAAGCGUGGGGAGCAAACAGG